rnacentral:rRNA from 1 species
CAAUAGCGUAUAUUAAAAGUUGUUGCAGUUAAAAAGCUCGUAGUUGAACCUUGGGCCUGGCUGGCNCGGUCCGCCUCACCGCGUGCACUGGUUCGGCCGGGCCUUUCCCUCUGGGGAAUCCCAUGCCCUUCACUGGGUGUGGCGAGGAACCAGGACUUUUACUGUGAAAAAAUUAGAGUGUUCAAAGCAGGCCUAUGCUCGAAUACAUUAGCAUGGAAUAAUAGAAUAGGACGUGUGGUUCUAUUUUGUUGGUUUCUAGGACCGCCGUAAUGAUUAAUAGGGACAGUCGGGGGCAUCAGUAUUCAAUUGUCAGAGGUGAAAUUCUUGGAUUUAUUGAAGACUAACUACUGCGAAAGCAUUUGCCAAGGAUGUUUUCAUUAAUCAGGAACGAAAGUUAGGGGAUCGAAGACGAUCAGAUACCGUCGUAGUCUUAACCAUAAACUAUGCCGACUAGGGAUCGGACGAUGUUAUUUUUUGACUCGUUCGGCACCUUACGAGAAAUCAAAGUUUUUGGGUUCUGGGGGGAGUAUGGUCGCAAGGCUGAAACUUAAAGAAAUUGACGGAAGGGCACCACCAGGGGUGGAGCCUGCGGCUUAAUUUGACUCAACACGGGGAAACUCACCAGGUCCAGACACAAUGAGGAUUGACAGAUUGAGAGCUCUUU